GCCAUUUAAUCUCUCGAAGUGCA
rnacentral:siRNA from 1 species